GCCCCAGGGAGUCAUGUCUGCGGUCGCUCUGGAGGCUGACGAACUCGCUUCUCCUAGCAACACGAAAGGAAAUCCAGCAACUGAAGAUCUUCAUUCAUGAACCAGAUCCUGCAGCGACGUCACGCCCUGUGGACUGGAGACGCAUUCAAGCUUUCUUUUUCUUGUAAAUCGAUGCUUGGAUGUCUUUCUGCCGCCUGCAUUCAGCAGCUGGGAAACUCCCGGCUGAAGCAUUGACGGUAAACUAGGAUAAAGCUGAAGAACCAGAAGUGCUGCCUUUAAAAAACUAGAUUGUAAAGGGAACCAGUGGUAAAUGUCCCUUUUGUUUGGUUGGACUAACUGGAAGGUGCAGUUCUUAUCUUUUUGAUGGCUUUAUAAUGCAGUGAUUAUUUCAGCAGUAAGUGCUGUGCAAACAUGAUCCUUUUAAUCAUUUAUUUGUUUGAAGCUGAGAAUUAUAUGAGAUGAAUGUCAAUACAAUAUUACGCAUUUACACGCCUCAAUAGACUAAGGUCAAGUUGUGCACAUAUUUAAGGAAGAUGAACUUUCUCUGCAGUUUCAUGACCUCCUUUAUGUGAACUUUUGAGGGACUUUCAGUUCUAGAUAUCACUCGAAAACAAAAUCAAUUCCAAAGCCUCAAGUUAAGCAGUUUACCAGAGAACCAGCUGGUCUGACAUGCAGUAGCACCAGGGUAAUAAUUUUAGGUUUCCAUUCUAAUUUAUUGCUUUUGUAAUUUAAUUAGUUUUUAAAGUGUUUUUGCUAGUUUUUACUUAUUUCUACUUAGAUCUUUAGUUUUUAUAAUUUAUUAGUUGUAGUUGUAGUUUUUUCAUUGAAUUUGAUUGGGUAAUGAAUAACAUUUUCAAUUAUUUGCUGUUAUUCUUGAACAAACUAAUUAUGGAGUUUUCUCACAACUUUUGCUGUCGCCAUUUUGCAGGUUAGCAUAAUUUGCCGACAGCUGGUGUAAACGUCUUAUGUUUGGAAAAAAGUAAAUCUAUUCUCAGUUCAAAAGGCUAAUAGAUUUAAAAACACAAAGACAAAGAAUCUUGUAUCUAUAAUUUCAGUAUGUUUUAAUUUUAGAAACACGAUAUAGUUGCAGUUAUAUUUUCCCCCGUUAAUUAUAGUUUUUAUUUAUUCCAGUUAAUAAAAAUAUUUGUCAAUUUCA